AAAUAGGAUAAAUAUAUAUAUACACGAUAUAAUAGGUUUCCUCUUUUCGACCGCAGAGAUUGUACUGUCGAAUACUUGUUGAGCUUUAUUCGAGGAUAAAAAAAGGACUGAAGCUAGAAGAUUCACGAAACAUUCGUAUCCAUACGCAAGGAAUAAUCUGUGGGAACUGAGCCAGGAGUGCAAGAUCUUAAGUUCUUGGCAAAAUCAAGUGAUUCGAUCUGGUCGACAUAAACUCGUCUGCUACGUCAAAGUCGUUUAUUAUACAACAACUUUCAAUGAGAGAGAGAGAGAGAGAGAGAGAGAGAGAGAUGGAUAUACAUAUGUUGUUGCAGCGAAGAUAACAAAUUUACCAAAAGUAUGCUCCUUCGUAGAACUCGGAGAAAAAUAAACUAUUGGAAAAGAA